rnacentral:rRNA from 1 species
AUGAGCAAGAAGAAGAGAGAAGGAGGCGGAGGAGGAAAAGGCGGUGGGGGAGGGGCUCAUCAGCACAGGGGAAGCGGCGGCGGGCCGACGGCGGUAACGGAUGUGCUCUCCAUGGACGGCGGCCUCCGCGAGGUGUCGGUCUCGGUCGUCUUCUCCGUCUGGUGUCUCCUUUUCCUCCUGCGCUCCCAGUUCCUCAACAGCCAGACCGACGACCCUUCGGAUUUCUACGGCGAGCGCGACAACUACUGCAAGGUGAUGCCACUGGAGGCAUACAUAUUCCCCGCCGACAACGCCUCCUCCCCGACGUGCCAAUCCUCCUCCUCGCCGCACCACCCAGAAGCGCUGCCGCCGUCCAACGCAAGCGGCGGCAACUCGUCGACCGAGGCAGCCUUGGUGGAGCUGGACGAGUUCCGGAGCCGCAUCCUGCAGGGCAAGGCCGACAACGACAGCGGCCGGCAUCACCAGCGCGUCGCCGACGGUGCCACGCACCGCCUGGAGCCCAGCGGCGCCGAGUACAACUACGCGGCGGCGUCCAAGGGAGCCAAGGUGCUCGCCCAUAACAAGGAGGCCAAGGGCGCCGCGAACAUCCUCGACGGCGACAAGGACCGCUACCUCCGCAACCCGUGCUCCGCGGACGACAAGUUCGUCGUGGUACAGCUCUCCGAGGAGACGCUCGUCCACACCGUGGCGCUGGCCAACCUGGAGCACUACUCCUCCAACUUCAAGGACCUGGAGCUACAUGGCAGCCUGAGCUACCCGGGGGAGGCGUGGGAACUGCUGGGGCGGUUCACGGCGGAGAACGGCAAGCACGCUCAGUGCUUCGUGCUGGCGGAGCCCCGGUGGACGCGCUACCUCCGGCUGCGCCUCGUCAGCCACUACGGCUCCGGGUUCUACUGCAUCCUCAGCUACCUGGAGGUGUACGGCAUCGACGCCGUGGAGCGGAUGCUGCAGGACUUCGUCGCCAGCCACAGCCCCGACGCGGACGCCGCAAAGGCCGCCGCCGACGCCCGUAAGGACAGCAGCCACAACGACACCGCCGGCUCCCAGGUCCACGCCAAGCAGGUGGAGGGCGGCGGGCGGAACGAGAGCACCGGCGACGUGGCGAAGAACAACGGCUCGAGGGUGGCGGACGGGAAGCCGGCGCAGGCGCAGGGCAAGGAGGCGGUGAAGCAGGCGACGGGGCGGGUGCACGGCGACGUGGUGCUCAAGAUCCUGAUGCAGAAGCUGAGGUCCCUGGAGCUGGGGCUGUCGACGCUGGAGGAGUACACCAAGGUGCUGAACCAGAGGUACGGCGGCAAACUGCCGGACCUGCACAACGGGCUGGCGCAGACAGGCAAGGCGCUGGAGAAGAUGAAGGCGGACGUGGAGGACCUGGUGGAGUGGAAGGACAAGGUGGCGAGGGAUGUGGGAGAGCUGAGGGACUGGAAAUCAAGCGUCUCGCGGAAACUAGACCAUCUGGCCAGGGAGAACGCGGCGAUGAGGUGGGAUGUGGAGGAGAUGAGGAGCAUCCAGGAGACGCUUCAGAACAAGGAGCUGGCGGUGCUUUCCAUCAGCCUCUUCUUGGCGUGCGUCGCGCUCUUGAAGCUGGCGUGCGACCGCUUGCUGCUGCUCUUCGCUAGCAAGGAGGAGGAGGAGGACGGGGCAGGGACGGGGUGGAUGCUCGUGUUGGCGGCCAGCAGCCUCACCACCCUCAUCGUGCUGCUCUACAGCUGA